rnacentral:rRNA from 1 species
UCUUUCGGGAACUAGAGACCGGCGCACGGGUGCGUAACGCGUAUGCAACUUGCCUUACUGAAAAGGAUAGCCCUUCGAAAGGAGGAUUAAUACUUUAUAACAGAUUUAAUGGCAUCAUUAGAUUUUGAAAGAUUUAUCGCAGUAGGAUAGGCAUGCGUAAGAUUAGUUAGUUGGUGAGGUAACGGCUCACCAAGACGAUGAUCUUUAGGGGGCCUGAGAGGGUGAACCCCCACACUGGUACUGAGACACGGACCAGACUCCUACGGGAGGCAGCAGUGAGGAAUAUUGGACAAUGGGUGGAAGCCUGAUCCAGCCAUCCCGCGUGUAGGAUGACGGCCUUAUGGGUUGUAAACUACUUUUAUCUGGGGAUAAACCUACUUACGUGUAAGUAGCUGAAGGUACCAGAAGAAUAAGCACCGGCUAACUCCGUGCCAGCAGCCGCGGUAAUACGGAGGGUGCAAGCGUUAUCCGGAUUUAUUGGGUUUAAAGGGUCCGUAGGCGGAUUAAUCAGUCAGUGGUGAAAUCUCAUAGCUUAACUAUGAAACUGCCAUUGAUACUGUUAGUCUUGAGUGAUGUUGAAGUUGCUGGAAUGUGUAGUGUAGCGGUGAAAUGCUUAGAUAUUACGCAGAACACCAAUUGCGAAGGCAGGUGACUAAACAUCAACUGACGCUGAUGGACGAAAGCGUGGGGAGCGAACA